CCUGUCAAUCUCACCUAAUAACUUUUAUUCAUUUUUUUUAAUACUUUAGUUGCCAUUUUUAACCAUUUAAAAUUGUGUUCGUUCUAUUUGUGUAAUCCUAAAUAUUUUCAAAUUAUAAUUCUAAAAUUCGAAAACGUAACUUUAUUUCAUCCAUUUUGGCCACACUACAGCUUCCGGAAGCAAACGACAUUAGCCGAUCAGUGACGAAGAGGCUUCUGUAACAACAAGCAUCGGCCCCCCCAAACGGAGGCCGUAACUGCACCAGUCACAAUAAUUUCAGAACGGACGUUGGUGCACGUCGAAGAUUCUGUAACAAUUAA